rnacentral:rRNA from 1 species
CUAGGGUCAUACCACCCGGAAUGCACCUGCUCUUGUCUGAUAUCUGAAGCUAAGAGGGCUCAGGCCUGGUUAGUAUUUUCCAGUAUGGUGGUGCAAUGCUGUAAUCUCAGCACUUGGGAGGCUGAGGCAAGCCUAG